GAUUAAUCCGGAGUCACCGCUUCCCUAUUUUAAGCAUGUUUUAAAAGUAUGUUUUAGUGUUUCAAGGUUUUUUUUGCAUGGGGGGGGGGGGGGGGGGGGGGGAAUUGGGGGAAACUUUUUUUUCAGGCACUUACCUCGACGGAGAUGCGAUUUUUCUCCUUUGCGAGGAUCGCCCGUGAGGGGCUCCAACCUCGGGGCCUGUUGGACUUUAACACCACUGCCGACUCGGGAGCUCCAUGCUGCGGAGUGUUCCAAUCGAUCCCGACGCCGGAG